rnacentral:lncRNA from 1 species
UUUGUCACAAAUGCUUUGCUUAUUUAUAUUGGCGACCAGGAGGCAACACAACUACACACUGUGUGAACUGAACCUCUCUGUUAUUUACAUAGUGAUUUGUGAACUGACAAGUUAGCAGCAGUUUCUGCUUUAUGCAAUUGUUCUGUUAAUAGACUGUGAUUGUGGAUCUACUGAAUGUCUCAAGAGAGGAACUUUUUUCCACUUCACAAAUUCUAAUUUUUGACUUGAUAAAGAAUGAUGGAUAUUUGUCACACAGAUAUUUAAAUGGAAUCAGGGCUGUAUAUAACCAUGACAUAAUACUUUGUCAAAAAGUGAAAAGUUAAUCUGGUUGGUCAUCAGUUUCAGAAGGGAGGAUUUUAAAUGGCUUAAAAAUAAUGUAGUCACAUGACUUAAAUUCAAAAGGAGGUAUUUUUACCUGGCAUAUGGAGAAGAUGAUGACAAUAAUGUGGAACUUGAUUAGACAUCAACAGAGACUCAAUGCCUCCUGGAAAACACCUGAGAAAUGAUUGAAGCUCGCUCUGG